rnacentral:sRNA from 1 species
UGAUUUCUUACUGCCGACGACAAUAGC